AACGAACGCUGGCGGCGCGCUUAACACAUGCAAGUCGAGCGGUCUCGCAAGGGACAGCGGCGAACGGGUGCGUAACACGUGGGUAAUCUGCCCUGGAGUGGGGGAUAACUCGCCGAAAGGCGAGCUAAUACCGCAUGAGCUCACGGCCUCUUUGGGGCUGAGAGAAAGGAGCAAUCCGCUCCAGGAUGAGCCCGCGGCCCAUCAGCUAGUUGGCGGGGUAAAGGCCCACCAAGGCAACGACGGGUAGCUGGUCUGAGAGGACGACCAGCCACACUGGAACUGAGACACGGUCCAGACUCCUACGGGAGGCAGCAGUGGGGGAAUCUUGCGCAAUGGGCGAAAGCCUGACGCAGCGACGCCGUGUGUGCGAUGAAGGUUUUCGGAUCGUAAAGCACUGUCGCCCGGGAAAAAGAAAUGAUGGUACCGGGAGAGGAAGCACCGGCUAACUCUGUGCCAGCAGCCGCGGUAA
rnacentral:rRNA from 1 species